GUGAAUUAAACAUGCUUGGUGUCUUCGCUUCGGCAAGGCCCUUGCUUAAAUCACAUCCUAACACCUGUGAACUGUAAGACGUAUGAUGAGGUCUUUGGCCAAGUCAUCGUCCUGCCCAUUUUUAACAAACAAUUAAUGUAACAAACGUAGUCUUAUUAUAACCUAAUA
rnacentral:misc_RNA from 1 species